GUGGAUUAGAUACCCUGGUAGUCCACGCCCUAAACGAUGUCUACUAGUUGUCGGGUCUUAAUUGACUUGGUAACGCAGCUAACGCGUGAAGUAGACCGCCUGGGGAGUACGGUCGCAAGAUUAAAACUCAAAGGAAUUGACGGGGACCCGCACAAGCGGUGGAUGAUGUGGAUUAAUUCGAUGCAACGCGAAAAACCUUACCUACCCUUGACAUGGAAGGAAUCCCGGAGAGAUUUGGGAGUGCCCGAAAGGGAACCUUUACACAGGUGCUGCACGGUUGUCGUCAACU
rnacentral:rRNA from 1 species